rnacentral:rRNA from 1 species
GACGAACGCUGGCGGCGUGCUUAACACAUGCAAGUCGAACGGAAAGGCCCUGCUUUUGUGGGGUGCUCGAUUGGCGAACGGGUGAGUAACACGUGAGUAACCUGCCCUUGACUUUGGGAUAACUUCAGGAAACUGGGGCUAAUACCGGAUAGGAGCUCCUGCUGCAUGGUGGGGGUUGGAAAGUUUCGGCGGUUGGGGAUGGACUCGCGGCUUAUCAGCUUGUUGGUGGGGUAGUGGCUUACCAAGGCUUUGACGGGUAGCCGGCCUGAGAGGGUGACCGGCCACAUUGGGACUGAGAUACGGCGCAGACGCCUACGGGAGGCAGCAGUGGGGAAUAUUGCACAAUGGGCGGAAGCCUGAUGCAGCAACGCCGCGUGCGGGAUGACGGCCUUCGGGUUGUAAACCGCUUUCGCCUGUGACGAAGCGUGAGUGACGGUAAUGGGUAAAGAAGCACCGGCUAACUACGUG